rnacentral:rRNA from 1 species
GACGUAGGGCGCGAGCGUUGUCCGGAUUUAUUGGGCGUAAAGAGCUCGUAGGCGGUUUGUCGCGUCUGCUGUGAAAUCCCGAGGCUCAACCUCGGGCUUGCAGUGGGUACGGGCAGACUAGAGUGCGGUAGGGGAGACUGGAAUUCCUGGUGUAGCGGUGGAAUGCGCAGAUAUCAGGAGGAACACCGAUGGCGAAGGCAGGUCUCUGGGCAUUAACUGACGCUGAGGAGCGAAAGCAUGGGGAGCGAACAGG